rnacentral:rRNA from 1 species
UACGGAGGGAGCUAGCGUUGUUUGGAAUUACUGGGCGUAAAGUGCACGUAGGCGGCUAUUUAAGUUAGAGGUGAAAGUUUGGGGCUCAACCCCGGAACUGCCUUUGAAACUAGGUAGCUAGAAUCUUGGAGAGGUCAGUGGAAUUCCGAGUGUAGAGGUGAAAUUCGUAGAUAUUCGGAAGAACACCAGUGGCGAAGGCGACUGACUGGACAAGUAUUGACGCUGAGGUGCGAAAGCGUGGGGAGCAAACAGG